rnacentral:rRNA from 1 species
GAUGAACGCUAGCGGCAGGCUUAAUACAUGCAAGUCGUGGGGCAGCGCAGGUAGCAAUACUGGGCGGCGACCGGCAAACGGGUGCGGAACACGUACACAACCUUCCGAGAAGUGGGGAAUAGCCCAGAGAAAUUUGGAUUAAUACCCCGUAACAUAACGAUGUGGCAUCACAUUGUUAUUAUAGCUUCGGCGCUUCUUGAUGGGUGUGCGGCUGAUUAGAUAGUUGGCGGGGUAACGGCCCACCAAGUCUACGAUCAGUAGCUGAUGUGAGAGCAUGAUCAGCCACACGGGCACUGAGACACGGGCCCGACUCCUACGGGAGGCAGCAGUAAGGAAUAUUGGUCAAUGGACGCAAGUCUGAACCAGCCAUGCCGCGUGAAGGAUUAAGGUCCUCUGGAUUGUAAACUUCUUUUAUCUGGGACGAAAAAGGCGAUUCUUCGUCACUUGACGGUACCAGAUGAAUUAGCACCGGCUAACUCCGUGCCAGCCGCCGCAGUAAUAC